UAAGAAUGAUGGCCAAAAUUAUGAACACAGAACCCAAGUCGUAAUAAACCAGAACUCUCCUUAAAACAAACAACUGCAACCUUGGCUGACAAAGUUGAGUUACUGCUAACCUUGUCAACACCAUAACUGAACUAUUACCUAAACCACAUUUUUCAAGGAAGUUUAGUUCUUGUGAACUUGAAAAUGUCUUGAGUCCUUUUCAUAAUAUCAAGAUCAAUGUAAAGAUGAUAUCUAAGUGGAUUUACAAUCAGUAAAUGUGCACUCAGCGACACAAAGGUAUAGUCUGAGUGAAAUUCUAGGUUUGAAAUGCCAUCAGUAGAUUCAUAAAUGGCCGUUAACAGGAUUCCCAAGGUUAAUGUAGCAAAGAUAUCAGGAGCUGCAAAAGUAAAAGUGUAUCUUUAUAGCAACCUUCAUAAUUUCAUACAAACUCCUACUAUGGUAUGGAUAUUGUAUGAAUAAAUGAACACACACACACUUGCACACAGAAAUGUAGAGUAGCCAAGGCUGAAUCAGGCAAGUGGGAGGUGAGAUUUUAUAAAAGAGUGAUUUUAUCAGUCUUGCACCUUUCUCCUCCAUCUAUCCUGCCUUAGUCCUUUUCUCCUUCUCCUUCCUCCCCCCUGUCCUCCUCCUCCCCUCCUCCUUUCAUUGUGGACGGUGGUGAAAUAUCAGUAUUGUUUACGCAGAAGAUUAGGGCAGAAUUGGGCAGAAGGCAGUUGUUCUGUGACGAUGAAGAUAAGAUAAGGGAUGGUGGUGUGUGUGUCUGUGUGUGUGUGCCGUGCUACCCCGCCUUAUCUUGGCAGCAGGCGAAGCAGCCAUAUGAAGUUGUUCAUUGUAAUUACCCAUGGCAAGAGUAGAUUUCAUAGGGAGAUUUAGGGGAGAGAAUGACAGAAUGAAAUCAAGGGAGGGAAAAAGGAAAGAGAAGGUGAGAAAGGAAAAGAAAAGAAAAGGGGGAGUAUGAAGAAGCAAGGAGGGGUAUGGACAGUCACAAAUGCACACAUGCCAUUAAACACGCACCUCACUUUCUUUUCUGCUGUCUGCAGUCAUUCUGUCUGAGUAUUUUACUGCUCUCAUCUGUGAUAUCUCAAUGCUACCAUAUCUUAUGACCUUUUGUGAGUCUAACAUCUUAGCCACUGUUCUAAUAAUCAGCAUCUCAUGACUCAUCCCCAUCUUUCCUCCGUUAUUCAAUCAGUGAUCUUUUCUCUCGCUACCCGUCUAUUGCUCUCCACUGUAAUUAUCACACUGGAUGAGAAUGUCAGGUGCAGUCGACCAGAUAUUCAUCUUCAAAUGGAAAAUCAAUCCAGAAUCUGCUAAAAUGUAUUUACAUUUAUAAGGUUUCAUAAAACUUUUCAAUUCUUUACAUGCAUGCAAUGAUAUGAUUUUAUGAAAAACCUUUGACAUUAUACCUGAUGAGGUAAGCAAACAGCUUUCAGGCAUCUUCCUCAAUUUAAACUCUGGUUGUUCACAACUUUAUAGGGGAAAGCACCCAUAAAGCUAUAUUCAUACUUUCCACGUCCGCAUGUCCAUGAAGGUCCGCAUGACUUAAAUAUCGUCAUCCGCCCAUCUCCGCGAGGGUCAGCGCAGCCCGAAAUUUGUGACUGCACGGACUGUACGCAUAGCAAGUGCGCCGACUGCGCAUGCUCCAGAUAAUGGCGCAAUGGAGUGGGUCCGAAUGUAGUUGAAGUAAUUGCUGCUGGACUUUGGAGGUGCCCAGAUUUGCACAUGCUUUCCAUCGAUGGCGUCCAAACAAAGUGGAAAGUUCCAAAUCAUCCAGAAAUCUUGUGCUAUGUCCACCCACUGUGCUUGGAACGAAGGCAACAAACUCCAGCUGCAGGCUCCUCCUUAGAGCUUGGCACACCUCAGGAACAAUCAGUGACGCGUUGCUACAGCCCAACUGUAACUUGCCGCUAUAUUUUGCUGCAAAGAUCCUGAAGCGUGGAAGGCCACACCGACGCGGACCAUCAUUGUAGUAAGAAUGGAACUGUGUGCGUUUGCGGUUCGCAAAGUACGACCAAGCCUUAAGAAGAUACACCAUCCCUUCAACCACCAUCAAACUAGAGUGCUGAACCCACAAAAGGCUAAUCAGUGACUCUGAGAGGAUGCAGUAUGAGCCUGGAGUAUGAAGAUCUGUCCUUCCUCUAUGUUUCAUUAAAGUUUGUCAAGUUGUGUCUGAGAGUCAGGACAAUGAGUUGCAAGUAGAUGUUGCUUUGUGCUAAAGUGUGCUAAAGAAGCCCAAAAGAGUUGGGAGCCACUGAUCUUAAACAUCACUGACACAGAGAUGAACAUCAUUUACUGAUGAUUAUUAUUUUUUCCAUGGAAGAUUUGAUCUUUCGACCUUAUAGCAAUGGAUCAGAAUGAUAAACUUUUUCCGAAAAAUGUUCAUUUUAUUGUUAACCAUCUUUAUGUUUGACUUCCACAUGUGCAUUAAAAUUAGACACCAACGUCAGUUGAUUGUAUGCAUUAAUAAAGGCCAUGAGAUUUUGUGAA